rnacentral:rRNA from 1 species
AUUGAACGCUGGCGGCAUGCCUAACACAUGCAAGUCGAACGGUAACGACGGAAGCUUGCUUCCGGGCGACGAGUGGCGGACGGGUGAGUAACACUUAGGAAUCUGCCCAGUAGUGGGGGACAACCAGGAGAAAUCCUGGCUAAUACCGCAUACGCACUACGGUGGAAAGUGGGGGACCUUCGGGCCUCACGCUAUUGGAUGAGCCUAAGUCGGAUUAGCUUGUUGGUGAGGUAAAGGCUCACCAAGGCGACGAUCCGUAGCUGGUCUGAGAGGACGAUCAGCCACACUGGGACUGAGACACGGCCCAGACUCCUACGGGAGGCAGCAGUGGGGAAUAUUGGACAAUGGGGGCAACCCUGAUCCAGCAAUGCCGCGUGUGUGAAGAAGGCCUGCGGGUUGUAAAGCACUUUCAGUAGGGAAGAAAAGCACAAGGCUAAUAUCCUUGGGUAUUGACGGUACCUACAUAAGAAGCACCGGCUAAUUCCGUG